rnacentral:rRNA from 1 species
AUGAUAGUGCAACUUAAUUGUGGCACUCCACCCCCGUCCGGUCACGAGGCCUCUGUGCUCUUCCGUGCUUCCACGACCUGGACCAUCGGCAAUGGCAACACCUACAAGUUCUGGCAGGACCACUGGCUCAAUGGGCGCUCCAUCCCUGAGAUUGCACCUACACUUUCUGCCCUCAUCCCGAGGCGCCGCCGAAACCAACGCCUUGUCUGCGAUGCUCUCAACAACAGGGGUUGGAUCGCUGACAUCCACAGCAUCUUA